UGCAAGUCGAACGAGUUCUCGUUGAUGAUCGGUGCUUGCACCGAGAUUCAACAUGGAACGAGUGGCGGACGGGUGAGUAACACGUGGGUAACCUGCCCUUAAGUGGGGGAUAACAUUUGGAAACAGAUGCUAAUACCGCAUAGAUCCAAGAACCGCAUGGUUCUUGGCUGAAAGAUGGCGUAAGCUAUCGCUUUUGGAUGGACCCGCGGCGUAUUAGCUAGUUGGUGAGGUAAUGGCUCACCAAGGCGAUGAUACGUAGCCGAACUGAGAGGUUGAUCGGCCACAUUGGGACUGAGACACGGCCCAAACUCCUACGGGAGGCAGCAGUAGGGAAUCUUCCACAAUGGACGCAAGUCUGAUGGAGCAACGCCGCGUGAGUGAAGAAGGCUUUCGGGUCGUAAAACUCUGUUGUUGGAGAAGAAUGGUCGGCAGAGUAACUGUUGUCGGCGUGACGGUAUCCAACCAGAAAGCCACGGCUAACUACGUGCCAGCAGCCGCGGUAAUACGUAGGUGGCAAGCGUUAUCCGGAUUUAUUGGGCGUAAAGCGAGCGCAGGCGGUUUUUUAAGUCUGAUGUGAAAGCCCUCGGCUUAACCGAGGAAGCGCAUCGGAAACUGGGAAACUUGAGUGCAGAAGAGGACAGUGGGAACUCCAUGUGUAGCGGUGAAAUGCGUAGAUAUAUGGAAGAACACCAGUGGCGAAGGCGGCUGUCUGGUCUGUAACUGACGCUGAGGCUCGAAAGCAUGGGUAGCGAACAGGAUUAGAUACCCUGGUAGUCCAUGCCGUAAACGAUGAAUGCUAGGUGUUGGAGGGUUUCCGCCCUUCAGUGCCGCAGCUAACGCAUUAAGCAUUCCGCCUGGGGAGUACGACCGCAAGGUUGAAACUCAAAGGAAUUGACGGGGGCCCGCACAAGCGGUGGAGCAUGUGGUUUAAUUCGAAGCAACGCGAAGAACCUUACCAGGUCUUGACAUCUUUUGAUCACCUGAGAGAUCAGGUUUCCCCUUCGGGGGCAAAAUGACAGGUGGUGCAUGGUUGUCGUCAGCUCGUGUCGUGAGAUGUUGGGUUAAGUCCCGCAACGAGCGCAACCCUUAUGACUAGUUGCCAGCAUUUAGUUGGGCACUCUAGUAAGACUGCCGGUGACAAACCGGAGGAAGGUGGGGAUGACGUCAAAUCAUCAUGCCCCUUAUGACCUGGGCUACACACGUGCUACAAUGGAUGGUACAACGAGUUGCGAGACCGCGAGGUCAAGCUAAUCUCUUAAAGCCAUUCUCAGUUCGGACUGUAGGCUGCAACUCGCCUACACGAAGUCGGAAUCGCUAGUAAUCGCGGAUCAGCACGCCGCGGUGAAUACGUUCCCGGGCCUUGUACACACCGCCCGUCACACCAUGAGAGUUUGUAACACCCGAAGCCGGUGGCGUAACCCUUUUAGGGAGCGAGCCGUCUAA
rnacentral:rRNA from 1 species